CAGCGAAACUGCACUCCUCCACAGCUCCGAUUUGUGAUGCCAAGAAAAAAGAGGAAUUUACUGCUCUUCUCCUUCCCAACUUCGCCGCCCACAUCCUUCCCGACGCUCUUCUCUCCAUGCCAGGCCUCCUCUCUGCGGCUGCCGCUAUGGAGAAGAAGGUCGGACCCCUCUUCUCCUUCCCAAGGAGACUAGAGACGAGGAGGAACCUCCAUCACCCUCUCCGUGCGGCGCCGUCACAGUCAUGGAGGCUGCCAUCUGAAGAUGUCCAGAACCGGCCUCCAGCACCGACCUGUAGAUGCACGCAGUGGCGAGCCAACUAAGGAGAUCCGAAUCUCAUCUUCUCCGUCGUCAUCUCCGUCAGCCCUCACCGGAUCCAGAAGAAGCCAUGUCGUCAUUGACGUCAAGGAGGAGGAUGGGAGCAGAUGAGUGGAUGCCGGCGGUCAGACCUCGCGGCCAUGGCGGCGGGCAGCAAGAUGACAGGCCCUGCCUGGCCUACCACGAUGAAUACCAUGAGCUUAUGGACUACUGCUGCGACAUCUAAGCCACCGGCGUGCACAGCUCCUGCGCCCUCGAUCUGUAUUUGUAUUUCUUUUCUACUGUACUAAAGCUCGCUAACAUGGCACCGGUAAGAUUGUCCGUUCCUAUUAUCUCCUCUCCGUAUUUCUACUGGAGUAGAAAUUGGAGGGUUGUGUCCUAACUGUGAAUUAAUUUGGUGUGGGAGCUGUCGAAUUAGAGCCCUGAUUGUUUCAUCGCGAUUUCUUCAACUGUGACGCUGAUGUUGAUAGGAUGUGAUGGAACAAUUCCACAUUCUCUUCAACAUAGCUUACAGUACACGAAGCCCUCGAAUUAGUGUGUGGUGUAGGAACUAGGUAGGUGGAUAGUCAGGAUGUUAUGUGGUGGGAGAUGCAGCUGUACGCAUGUUAACCUUUCUUACUAGAAAAUAUGGAAACCAAAUUUAGCAAGAUGAUCCUAACUUGCUGCUUAGUGAUUUCAGUUUUGUCAGUCUCCAAUUCAGUGUAUGAAAGAUAAGGAUUGGGAUGUAGUUUGAUUUCGAUUGGAAAGGUUCAAUCUGUACAAUUGGCCACAAUUUUGUAGGACCUGUCGCAUUUGCUUUUGAUGCAGAUCAGUUUUCUUGUGAGCAUUUCUAUUGAAUGCAUGAAUAAUUUACUUCUUGAUAGGUGUUCAGUUGUCAAAAUUUCGAUGGCUUCAAAGGCUUAUGUGAGAUCAGGAUUACCACGGAAUUUACUUCUUGAUAGGUGUUCAGUUUUCAAAAUUUCGAUGGCUUCAAAGGCUUAUGUGAGAUCAGGAUUACCACGGGAAAAGUGUUGCAGACAACGCCAAGGAAAGUAAGAAUUUGGGAUGUAAAAAAUAAUGCUAAGCAUGCCCUUCCUCUUCUUAGUGAUGACUCUUGAUAUCAUUUUACACCUGACGCAAUUUUCUCAUAUGGUGCAUUAACAGGCAUCCAAUUUCCUUCUAAUGUAUUAUAUGUCAUUAUGCUACACUAUGACAUAUAUCCCUGCUACCCUCAGGACUAGCACAAUGAGGAGUUUCCAUAAUAGAUAUCUUUUCUUGAUUAGUUCAUUAUCCCUGCUAAAGGGGUAUGGCGUCUUUUGUUUCAUCAGUUCACUAUCAGUGCCACUAGGCAUAUGACAUAGUAAGAAGUUCAGGUUUGUGAAAUUUUAGUUCUGUUGUAACAAUCCGUUAGCACAAUCUUAUAAGAAAUAACUUAAUGUUUUGAGGAUUAUCUGAUCUGGUGUAUAUGCAACGGUGUGGUUGGUCUGAUGGUCAGCCUACACUAAUUACAUAAUUAGAAGUACUUUAGUCGUCAUUAUUACUUGCUUUUGUUUUGAUUGCAGGUCCUAUUCUUUUAUUGAAAGUGCAACAACUAAUAUAAGUCGCGGUGUGUUUGGAGCAAUAAGUGGUUCAGCAGCAUUUUGGGGCACUUGCUGACUUUGGUGAGCAUACUUUUACGUAAUCAGUACAGACAGAAAAUUAUCCACAUCUAUUGGCUAUGAUCGUCUACCAAAUUCCAAACCAGAAGGCACAAAUGAUGGCUGACGCAACAGGUCGGCGCCCACGACUGAAAGAAAUUUUCAUGGCCGUGUGCAAUGCUUCAUUGUAUUUGUGGCAAAACCACUUUCUCAGUUUCAGAGAGUAUCGGCUGACAGGGUUAGAGAGUCAAUAGCAAGAAAGCUCCACAUAACACAAGGCAUUAUUAUUCCUUCAUCUACCGAUGAAACGGUUGUCCUAUCCUUCCUCACCAUAAACAAGCAGUACAUGCAAUAGAUCUUUCUGAAAGAACACCUAUUGUCUCAAGCUUUGAUCCCUCUCAAACAUGUAGUAGGGGUUGUAUGUCGGUGUGUACUGGCAGUGAAACCUACGCUACAUACCAGUGUAAUGUUAUAUGUUUGUUUAGCCUGCCCUGCUUCUUUUUGAGAUGUAGUAUACCUCACUAUAGAUGUCUUAAGCACAUAUGUUCAGCUCUCGACCAUAUUCAGUUUAUGCUUCCUCCUAUAUGCUUCUAAAUCA